GGGAGGGGAGGGGAGGGGAGGGGAGGGAAAGGAAGGAGACAUGUGCAUAUAUAUAUAUGUGCAUAUAUACAUUUGUAUAUGCACACAUUUUCGCACAUAUAUUUUUCCUGAGUGAAUAAUCAUGACCAUGGCUACACUUUUUAAAAUACUCAUUUCCUUCCACUUUAAAUAAAAAAUCGUAUCUUCUCAGAGAUUACAAUGAAAACACAAACCAGACACGUGUUUUUGGAUGACGGAUUGCGAGUAGUCUCUUGGACCACCUAAAAAGCCCCCUGGAGUCCCAGUGAUCUGUGGAGCUCACUUCCUCAGCCCCAGCCCGGGGUGGAGAGCCAGAGCCAAUGUCAUGAGAGUCUUCAUCACAGACGGAGCAGCUUGGCCUGUCAUUGAGAUCCUGGGUGUUGCUGCCCAGAUACCCAGACCCUGAGGUCAGCCUCCACCUCGCUGCCCAAGUACGCAGUUCACCUGGGAAGAAGCGAGUCUAGGCUAGAGGACACAAAAACCAGUCCCUAUCAUGGAGGCAGCCAUCCAUCCUCUCUGUGGAUAAGGCUAUCCUCACCCCGAACCUAAGGUUUCCAAGCUGCUUAGAGGAAUAUCCAGAACUCUCUCUCUGCAUCUUUAUUACUGAUAAAGUCAUAUUACAGUAAUAUUACUGAUUACAGAUCUUGAGAGAUGAAAUGAAGUUGGAAAGAAACUGGAUUCAUCCAGGUAAAAAGAACAUUAUGCACAAUUUAUCACGAUGUGAGCUUCUGUUUGUUCUGAACAUGGUGGUCAUUCAUUCCAUGACUUAGUUCCAAUUUAUGGACAGUGUCUUGAAGCCCCCUCAAUACUCAUAACCAUAAUCGCUUCCAUUAAGAGAAGAUGACUAUAUGCCAGGUGCUUUAUACUGAAUUUGAUGAGGAAAUGUAAUCUCAGAAAGGUUAAGUCACCUGCCCAAGGUCACAUAGCCAGGUUUGAACCAGGUUUCCCCAUCUGCUAUGUUUUAACACUUCCAAGUCAUGCCUCGUGGGUUAGAUAAACAGCAGAUAGUCAUGGCAAUGAAACUGAUAUUUAAAAAAAAAAUAGUUUUACAAUCCGAUGAACCGGCGGGGGGGGGGGGGGGGGAGGGCACUUGUACACUGGCUCCUACAGUGGCCAAUCCAAGUGCAUGCACACUAUUGGCAUUUUUCUCUCUCUGAAUUCAGUGUUACUGGCAGCCCCUGUGAUUUCUCAGCAUAAUGACUGCCCUCACCACUUGGAGUCCACCCCUUUCCCAUAGCUGAGGCCUCUGGGUUCUAGGGGAGCCCUUGACUUUCCACUAGCCCAGGCAGAGUCUAGCUUCCUCACCAGGGUCAGCCGAUGUGAAACUGAGAAGUAUCUCGAGAUUAAUCUUCAGAACCCCUCACUCCCUGAGCAUCCCUCCCCCAACUCCCCAGCAGUGCUUUCCUUGUUCUAUCCUUGUUUGAUAAACUACCCCAGCGGUGCUUUUCUAUUUGAAAGGAUGUGAUCUGCAGAGGCCCGCACUUAACACCUCGUGCUCUAAUGGUGGAGCUCACGGCAUUUCAGUGGCGAGAUAAUUGGGGAGGGGGAAAACAGAGUCUUCCCAGGGGCUUUAAACUGCAUCAAUGCAUAAGGCUGAUCCUGCACCUCAUUAUCCAUUAACUUCAGAUGAAAGCUAUCAAAUUGGAUCCCUUAUUCUGAUAUUUGAAACUGAGCGGACAGGGGGCUGAUUUCUCUGCUUUCACCUGACUGCUGGCACCAGGCAGAUACCCUGCCCUUGUCCUGCCUCAUCUUGCCUUUGCCUCCCUCCCAUGGGGGGCAGGGUCCCUAAGGGACACAGCUCCCCAUGGUGUGGCUGCAGGGGCCCUGUGGAAAAGGUUGAGUUGUCAAAUGAGGAGACACCACAGCUAACACCCCCUCUCCCCCACCCCCCACCAACUCUGGAAUGAAGAUGGAGAGUUUUCUGUGCCUGGUUUGGUUCACGGAGACACAUAGUCCAUCAUUUGAUUUUCUACAAAGAGUAUUCCUUCCCUGCCCCCCAGCAUCCUCUAGUUUUUUUUCUCAGAGCUGGAAGGAUCUUAGUGAUGUCCUAAUCGAACCACCUCAUUGUGAAGGAAGGGAAACUGAGGCUCAGACAGACACCAGGACCCAGGUAUUUCGAUCCCUAAGCCGUGCUGCAUCUGGCUCUCUUUGCACUUCAGCUGAAUACUUUUUUCAUCGCUCCCUCUAAACCCCAGGAUCCAAGCUUACCUUCCAUGGCAGUCUACACAGACACCAACAAACGCCAUGACGGCGGAGCCCUCCCAGCCCAGGAGCGACCACUUUUGGGCACAGGCUUCAGCAUACCCACACCAUGCUCCAUAAUCCCGCUAGAGCCCAUCUGUGAUUUCUGUGAAGUUAAAGGGUCUCCCUGUUCCCCUGGUUUCUGCCCCACUCCCCAGAGCUGGCCAGGGCCUGCAGAGGGGCUGGAGGGCUCAGGCAGAGAGCAAAUGGGUAAACACAACUUUUGUUCCUCGCAGCCUCACGUGAGGACCGAGGCUGCUUUGAAUAGAGAAGUUUCCUUAAUAUGCUGUCAAAGGAAAGAAACCUGUCUCAUCGUCCAACUCUGAUGACUGAAGCCCGGGGAAGGGAGUUGAGCUUAAUUAGCGUUAGGAAUGCUGAUUCCACAUAAGAAAGAACUUGCCAGCGGGGAGAGUCGUCUGACGACAGGGAUCUCUGAAUACACCAGUAUUUCAGGUGUGCUUAUAAGAAGAAAUUAGAACACAGACACAAAGACCACAGGAAGCCAGGACCACGUGAAGAAGACCAUCCACAAGCCAAGGAGAGAGACCCCGAGAGAAACCAACCCUGCCAACACCUUGAUCUUGGACUUCUAAACCUCCAGAACGGCAAAGGAAAUAAAUUUCUAUUGUUUAAGCCACCCGGUGUGUGGUACUUUAUUAGGGCAACCCCAGCAAACUAAUACAGUGUCUAAGUAUGUCUCAGCCAUUGAUUUGAUUUGCCGGGAGAUCUCGGACAUUUAAAACUCUCUAAGCCUCAGUUUCCACAUGAGCCCAAAGGUCCCAUCUUGUGAGUCCCGGGAAAGGGAGAGCCCUGCUUACACUACACAAUGUUUACUUCCAUGUCAUUGUAAGUGGGCACAGUUCCAGAUACAUGUCCUCAUCCAGUCACACACACAGCCCUGCAUCACCGCCUUAUCCUUCCAAAAUCGUACAGUCAACGUACACAGCCCGUUCCCUAGCCAAAAUGCCAGUGUAGAUUCAACUUUCGACGCAAACGUAUUUGGGUCCCCUGACUCAGAGGCUGUGGCUGCUCCUGCGCCUCACCAAAAUGGGUUGAAAUGACAAUAUUUUAGUCAGUUGACUGGUUUUGGUGAACUUGGUGCCACAGAGCCCCACUGGUCUAUCCCCACUUAAUUGAUGGAUUUUAUUUUUAAAUUGUCAGAUUCUGGCCAUCUA